rnacentral:rRNA from 1 species
AACGAACGCUGGCGGCAUGCCUAACACAUGCAAGUCGAACGAAGGCUUCGGCCUUAGUGGCGCACGGGUGCGUAACGCGUGGGAAUCUGCCCUUUGGUUCGGAAUAACAGCUGGAAACGGCUGCUAAUACCGGAUGAUGACGAAAGUCCAAAGAUUUAUCGCCAGAGGAUGAGCCCGCGUUGGAUUAGGUAGUUGGUGGGGUAAAGGCCUACCAAGCCGACGAUCCAUAGCUGGUCUGAGAGGAUGAUCAGCCACACUGGGACUGAGACACGGCCCAGACUCCUACGGGAGGCAGCAGUGGGGAAUAUUGGACAAUGGGCGCAAGCAUGAUCCAGCAAUGCCGCGUGAGUGAUGAAGGCCCUAGGGUUGUAAAGCUCUUUUACCCGGGAAGAUAAUGACUGUACCGGGAGAAUAAGCCCCGGCUAACUCCGUG